rnacentral:rRNA from 1 species
UUUAAUUAUCAUAUAUAAAAGUGAAAAUAUAAAAUAUAAAUUAAUUUUAGUUGGGGCAACUGGGAGGGAUAAGAAUCUUUUAUUAAAUCAUUUAUAGUAAUAUUUAUAUUUAUGAUCCAAAUUAGUUAAUUUUGAACUUAGAAU